rnacentral:rRNA from 1 species
UACGGAAGGCAGCAGUGGGGAAUAUUGCACAAUGGGCGAAAGCCUGAUGCAGCUAUGCCGCGUGUAUGAAGAAGGCCUUAGGGUUGUAAAGUACUUUCAUCGGGGAGGAAAAAACAAAACUAAUAAUUUUAUUUCUUGACGUUACCCGAAAAAGAAGCACCGGCUAACUCCGUGCCAGCAGCCGCGGUAAUACGGAGGGUGCUAGCGUUAAUCAGAAUUACUGGGCGUAAAGAGCACGUAGGUGGUUUUUUUAAGUCAGAUGUGAAAUCCCUGGGCUUAACCUGGAACUGCAUUUUGAAACUGAAAUACUAGAGUAUCGUAGAGGGAGGUAGAAUUCUAGGUGUAGCGGUGAAAUGCGUAGAUAUCUGGAGGAAUACCUGUGGCGAAAGCGGCCUCCUAAACGAAUACUGACACUGAGGUGCGAAAGCGUGGGGAGCGAAACAGGGAUUAGGAUACC